GGAAGCUGAGAUAAAGAUAGUCAAGUCAUCUUUCUAGGAUUAUGAAACUAAUAAAGGAUCUAAAUCUUGAAAAUCUUUAAUGCCCUACUAAAUGUAAUUACUAUAUGCCUAAUAUUACACAAAAAAUGAACAUAGAAGGAAGAUUCACACCCGGUUUUUGAAACUCCAAAUCUAGCUCAUAUUAUAUUAUAAAAUAUUGGUAUUUCCAAAGCUACUAUGGUUUAGGAUGCAGAAAAUAACAGAUUUUUGUACUGAAAAGAAUAUAAAUUUGGAAAAUAAGGAGAAAUAAUAGGAAUGAAUAUCCACGUGCCAGCAUUUCCUUUCAAGAAAAAAGAGAAUUAAAAGAUUUUAUUCCUAUCAGAUUAGUGUGAAGAGGUAAUUUGAAGACAUGAAAAGAGAUCUGCUGCUGAAAACAGGAGAAGCAAGGAUAUGAACUUGCCUGUCUGUCUCUGGGUUAGUGAACUUACAUACUCAUUUUCUUAAGUUUAUUGUAUUCCUUUAUUAAAAAGUAAAUUACCUGAGGGCAGGACCCAAAUCCUCUAGACUACAACUCCAUUCCAAUGACUGUUUCAUGUUUCCUCUCUGCACAGUGAGCUUUCCUCAGAAUAACCUUGUGAAUUAGGACAAAUAAAAUUAUCUCCAUUUUGCAAUUGAAGAAACUGAGGCUGAGUGGAGUUAAUGGCUAUACAAUUAGUAAGGAGCAGAGUUAGGCUUGAACUUAGGAAUUUGUUCCUAAAGCCAGUGUUUUUUCAACAGCAUCCAUUUAUAUUGUUAUCACCUUAAUAAACUUUUAAAAACAUGAAUUGAAAAUGCUCUCAUGUUGUUCUUCAUAAAUAAGAAUACCUCAUUUUUAUUGCAGUGUUCAGUGUCAUUGUUUUCUUACAGUUAUAAGGCAUGAACAGUAGGGGGCAGAGGUGUCUGUCACUAUGCUUGCUUUGCCUAUAUUGCAUUUUUCCAGGGGAUAAUUGAACUUGGAGGUUAAG